CCUACGGGAGGCAGCAGUGGGGAAUAUUGCACAAUGGGGGGAACCCUGAUGCAGCGACGCCGCGUGAGUGAAGAAGCGCCUCGGCGCGUAAAGCUCUGUCAGCAGGAACGAUAAUGACGGUACCUGAAGAAGAAGCCCCGGCUAACUACGUGCCAGCAGCCGCGGUAAUACGUAGGGGGCAAGCGUUAUCCGGAUUUACUGGGUGUAAAGGGAGCGUAGACGGCGGGGCAAGUCUGGAGUGAAAGGCCGGGGCCCAACCCCGGGACCGCUCUGGAAACUGCCCGGCUGGAGUGCGGGAGAGGUAAGCGGAAUUCCUAGUGUAGCGGUGAAAUGCGUAGAUAUUAGGAGGAACACCAGCGGCGAAGGCGGCUUACUGGACCGUGACUGACGUUGAGGCUCGAAAGCGUGGGGAGCAAACAGGAUUAGAUACCCGGGUA
rnacentral:rRNA from 1 species